AGUGGUCCUCGGGUGAUACUCCCUGGAAUUGGGCUCCUUCCUCUCUGGUCCAGGGUGCAUCAUCAGAGAACCACA
rfam:Myotis lucifugus cont2.35516, whole genome shotgun sequence.